rnacentral:lncRNA from 1 species
CGUAAUUUCAAUUUUUACCUUUAAUAACUAAGGGCUUGUUUGGUUCAUCCAUUUUGGGUAUGGAAUGGGAAUCGGUUUGAUCAAAUCCGGUUAAUUUUGUUUGGUUCGCAUGAAUCGGUUUGGAAUUCCUAUUCCGGACUGGAAUGGGAAUGACUCAUUAGGCUUCAACUUGAUUCCGGUCUUCUAGCCCGGAUUGAAAUUUCAUUCCGAAAGCCCACUAAGUUCUUGAAGCCCAUGUGACCAUCUCACUCUCCUUCUCUUCACCCUGGCCUUUCUCAUCAAAAAAAGAAAAUUCUAUCCUCUCUUAAAAUCCUAUUCCUAACCCACAUCAAUAAAAAUUUUUAAAAAUAAAUUUGAUAUUUUUUUUGAAAAACUUAUUAGAGAAUAGUAUUAUAUUUUUCAUAAAUUUUAAAUAAUAUAAAUUUAUAUUUGAGAGUAAAAUUAGUAUUAUAGUAUUCUAUAAUUUUUUUAGUUUAUACGAACCAAAUAAUGAAAUGUGAAUAACUCAUUCCAAUUCCCAAUCCAUAAAUAAACCAAACGUCUUGGGGGAGUGGGUCAUUCCAAUUACCAUUCCAAUUCAUUCCCAUUCCAUUACCCAUUCCAAUUCCACCCUUGAACCAAACAUGCCCUAAAUACCUAUGGUACUAAUUUGUGACAUUA